rnacentral:rRNA from 1 species
CCUACGGGUCGCACCAGUGGGGAAUAUUGCACAAUGGGCGCAAGCCUGAUGCAGCCAUGCCGCGUGUGUGAAGAAGGCCUUCGGGUUGUAAGGCACUUUCAGCGGGGAGGAAGGCGGUGAGGUUAAUAACCUCACCGAUUGACGUUACCCGCAGAAGAAGCACCGGCUAACUCCGUGCCAGCAGCCGCGGUAAUACGGAGGGUGCAAGCGUUAAUCGGAAUUACUGGGCGUAAAGCGCGCGCAGGCGGUCUGUCAAGUCGGAUGUGAAAUCCCCGGGCUCAACCUGGGAACUGCACUCGAAACUGGCAGGCUAGAGUCUUGUAGAGGGGGGUAGAAUUCCAGGUGUAGCGGUGAAAUGCGUAGAGAUCUGGAGGAAUAUCGGUGGCGAAGGCGGCCCCCUGGACAAAGACUGACGCUCAGGUGCGAAAGCGUGGGGAGCAAACAGGAUUAGAUACCCGCGUAGUC